rnacentral:rRNA from 1 species
GUAGUCCACGCUGUAAACGAUGUCGACUUGGAGGUUGUGCCCUUGAGGCGUGGCUUCCGGAGCUAACGCGUUAAGUCGACCGCCUGGGGAGUACGGCCGCAAGGUUAAAACUCAAAUGAAUUGACGGGGGCCCGCACAAGCGGUGGAGCAUGUGGUUUAAUUCGAUGCAACGCGAAGAACCUUACCUACUCUUGACAUCCACAGAAGACGGUAGAGAUACUGUUGUGCCUUCGGGAACUGUGAGACAGGUGCUGCAUGGCUGUCGUCAGCUCGUGUUGUGAAAUGUUGGGUUAAGUCCCGCAACGAGCGCAACCCUUAUCCUUUGUUGCCAGCACGUGAUGGUGGGAACUCAAAGGAGACUGCCGGUGAUAAACCGGA